CGUCAGAGGCCGCAGAAUGUCGGCGGGUAAACUCCGCCAGGGCCGGAAGGCAGCAACGGUAGCUUGUUCGUCAUUGCUGCGGUUCUCUGGCAUUU
rnacentral:SRP_RNA from 1 species